rnacentral:misc_RNA from 1 species
AACGCACAUUGCGCCCGCCAGCAUUCUGGCGGGCAUGCCUGUCCGAGCGUCAUUUCGACCAUCAAGCCCCCGGGCUUGUGUUGGGGACCUGCGGCUGCCCGCAGGCCCCGAAAACCAGUGGCGGGCUCGCCGGCACCCCGAGCGUAGUAGCAUACGUCUCGCUCUUGGGCGUGCCGCGGGCUCCCGGCCGUUAAACGCGAACAACCCCCCCCCAAAGGUUGACCUCGGAUCAGGUAGGAAGACCCGCUGAACUUAA